GGACCAACAUGUCGGUCGUGCCUCGGUACGUACUGGUAUUAUUGGUUUCUCCCUUCUGACGAACCAUGAUGUCAUUAAUUUGAUGUCGCGGGGAAUUAGGACUGUUACCUUGAAAAAAUUAGAGUGUUUAAAGCAAGCUCACGCUUGAAUACAUUAGCAUGGAAUAAUGAAAUAGGACAUUGUAUUCUAUUUUGUUGGUUUCUAGGAUCGAUGUA
rnacentral:rRNA from 1 species